rnacentral:rRNA from 1 species
GGGAACUGGACCGGGGACAGAUUAACAGGAUUAGAUACCCUGGUAGUCCACGCCCUAAACUAUGUCAACUGGUUGUCGGGGAAGCAAUUCCUUGGUAACGAAGCUAACGCGUGAAGUUGACCGCCUGGGGAGUACGGCCGCAAGGUUAAAACUCAAAGGAAUUGACGGGGACCCGCACAAGCGGUGGAUUAUGUGGAUUAAUUCGAUGCAACGCGAAAAACCUUACCUACCCUUGACAUGCCAGGAACCCUCCAGAGAUGGAGGGGUGCCCGAAAGGGAACCUGGACACAGGUGCUGCAUGGCUGUCGUCAGCUCGUGUCGUGAGAUGUUGGGUUAAGUCCCGCAACGAGCGCAACCCUUGCCAUUAGUUGCCACAUUAAGUUGGGCACUCUAAUGGGACUGCCGGUGACAAACCGGAGGAAGGUGGGGAUGACGUCAAGUCCUCAUGGCCCUUAUGGGUAGGGCUUCACACGUAAUACAAUGGCCGGUACAGAGGGCAGCCAACCCGCGAGGGGGAGCUAAUCCCAGAAAGCCGGUCGUAGUCCGGAUUGCAGUCUGCAACUCGACUGCAUGAAGCCGGAAUCGCUAGUAAUCGCGGAUCAGCAUGUCGCGGUGAAUACGUUCCCGGGUCUUGUACACACCGCCCGUCACACCAUGGGAGUGGGUUCCACCAGAAGUAGUUAGCCUAACCGCAAGGAGGGCGACUACCACGGUGAGAUUCAUGACUGGGGUGAAGUCGUAACAAGGUAACCAAUCUU